rnacentral:rRNA from 1 species
CAGCCGCCGCGGUAAAACCAGCACCUCAAGUGGUCAGGAUGAUUAUUGGGCCUAAAGCAUCCGUAGCCCGUUUUGUAAGUUUUCGGUUAAAUCCAUGCGCUUAACGUAUGGGCUGCCGGGAAUACUGCAUAACUAGGAAGUGGGAGAGGUAGACGGUACUCGGUAGGAAGGGGUAAAAUCCUUUGAUCUAUUGAUGACCACCUGUGGCGAAGGCGGUCUACCAGAACACGUUCGACGGUGAGGGAUGAAAGCUGGGGGAGCAAACCGGAUUAGAUACCCGGGUAGUCCCAGCUGUAAACUAUGCAAACUCAGUGAUGCAUUGGCUUAUGGCCAAUGCAGUGCUGCAGGGAAGCCGUUAAGUUUGCCGCCUGGGAAGUACGUACGCAAGUAUGAAACUUAAAGGAAUUGGCGGGGAGCACCAC